UACGUAGGGGGCUAGCGUUGUCCGGAAUCAUUGGGCGUAAAGAGCGUGUAGGCGGCCCGGUAAGUCCGCUGUGAAAGUCGGGGGCUCAACCCUCGAAUGCCGGUGGAUACUGUCGGGCUAGAGUGCGGAAGAGGCGAGUGGAAUUCCUGGUGUAGCGGUGAAAUGCGCAGAUAUCAGGAGGAACACCGGUGGCGAAGGCGGUUCUCUGGGCCUGUACUGACGCUGAGGCGCGAAAGCGUGGGGAGCAAACGGG
rnacentral:rRNA from 1 species